UGGGCAGGGGGUUGGACUAGAUGACCUACAAGGUCCCUUCCAACUCUGUCAAUCUGAUUUCGCUUCAUGGCGAAGGAAAAAAGGUAAAGCGGACGAGUCGCGCGUGCGCAAAUCUCCCAGCCUCUUUCGCUCCAUCGAAUGAGCGCGCGGUGGCCUCUUUUCGCCGGGGAGGCCGGUCGGUAGAUCGCCGCCGAUCGAAAGAGGCGGCGCCGUUGACGUCGCGGCUGGUGUUCGGGGCGGGCGGGCGCCCCCGGCUGUUUCCGGAGGAAGGAGAAAAAGGCAGGCGGCGAGCGAGCGAGCGACUCCAUCCCCCACCCACAGGGAGGGAGUUCGGCGGCGGCGGCGCAGACAGGCCCGACGAGGCGGAGGCGAAGGAGGCGCAGUUCGAGUGACCCCCGGCCGCGGCGGCCACCCACCACCACCCGCACCGCCACGCUCCCCCCGCGCAGAAGGCAGGAUGGCGCUGAAACGCAUCAACAAGGUACUAUCAACACUUAUUGAUGUAAAACUGUUUUGGUGUUUUGUCUUGCAGAAAGCAGUGGGAUAUAUUGUUACUUUUGCAUGGCAAGUAUCUCAGUCAUUUGUGUUUGAUUUAACUGGAGCUGAAAUCUUCAUUACUUCUCUUGGAUUUGAAACUGUUGGGCUUUGUUUGGCCACUAUGAUUUUGGCUGUAGCAGUUGGAAUUGUGGCUACCUUGGUGAUUGGCUCUGGCUUUUGUGGGAAAGAAACAUUAUUUAUUCCGCUGGUAUGGAUCUCCAAAGCAACUGUCCAGUUUCGUCAGACAAUUUCUGAGGCCUGUAUGAUCAGCAAGUUGUUUCCCCCCCUGGUCACAUGAUCAAUCAAGACCAUGGAUUUUACCGCCUGCACAUGGUUUUUUUUCCCCUCCUUGCUGCUGGAUAGAAAACUAAAGGAGUGAGUCUCUCGUAGCUGUGGUCUUUAGAAUGGAGCACUAUGGUUUUCUUUAUGUUCUAAGUAGCGUUUCAUAAAGUUUGGUUAUCUUGUGGAAAUCUCUGACAACCAAUUAUAUGAACAAGAAAACAAAGGCAGUCGUCCCAGAAGGAAGCCUCUUCUAAAGAUGAUGCACAAGAAAGUCCGCAAACGAUUUGCUGCACACAAUGUAUUUCAUGUCCUGAGGUCCGAUGAGAACAAGGUAAACUUAUUUGGUUCAGAUGGAAUCAAGCAUGUGUGGUGGCAACCAGGUGAGGAGUACAAAGACGAGUGUGUCUUGCCUAUAGUCAAGCAUGGUGGUGGGAAUGCCAUGGUCUGGGGCUGUAUGAGUGCUGCCGGCACUGGGAAGUUACAGUUCAUUGAAGAAACCAUGAAUGCCAACAUGUACUGUGACAUACUGAAGCAGAGCAUGAUCCCCUCCCUUUGGAGACUGGGCCAUAGGGCAGUAUUCCAACAUGGUAACAAUCCCAAACACAUCUCUAAAACGACCACUGCCUUGCUAAAGAAGCUGAGGGUAAAGGUGAUGGACUGGCCAAGCAUAUCUACAGACCUAAACCCUAUUGAGCAUUUGCAGGGCAUCCUGAAACAGAAAGUGGAGGUGCGCAAGGUUUCUAACAUUCACCAGCUCCGAGACAUCAUCAUGGAGAAGUGGAAGAGGACUCCGGUGGCAACCUGUGAAACUCUGGUGAACUCUAUGCCCAAGAGGGUUAAGGCAGCGCUGGAAAAUAAUGGUAGCCACACAAAAUAUUGACACUUUGGGCCCCAUUUGGACAUUAUCACAUAGGGGUGUACUCACUUUUGUUGCCAGUAGUUGAGACAUUGAAGGCUGUCUGUUGUGUUAUUUUGAUGGGACAGCACAUUUAGUUGUACAAGCAGUAUAAUCACAACAUUACAUUGUAUUUGUGUCAUUUCUUCAGUGUUGUCACAUGAAAAGAUAUACUUAAAUAUUUAUAAAAUGUGAGUGGGUGUACUCCUGUGAUAUACUCUAUAUGCAGGUUGGCCUUCAAACAAAUUUGUCUUGUGUACUGAUUGUACCAAUUCCUGAAUUGGGAGGCUCAUAGUUUAUUCAUAUUCCAGAUUUAUUAUUACCACCAAAUCCCUCAAAGACAUCUAGAAAUCAAAAAAUCACCAUGUAAUGCCCACUCCUCCACAAGCUGUUGGGGGGCCUUGGUUCUAUCAAGUUGCCUUCGAAAAGGCACUAAAAACCCAGGUCCUUUUUCGAUCAUUGGGGUCAAAUAAAUUUAGAAUUUCACCUGGAAAGUUAUAAGAAAAAUUUGCAUGCCUGAUAGUUUGUUAGUUUCAUAUGCUGUUUUUACCUGUACAGGUUUAUUAUUAUUUCUUUCUUGAUUUUAUGUCACCUAGUCACAUCUGUCCAUACUGUGUUCCUGUAUUCAUAUCCCAAAUAAAUAAAUUUACAUAGUCCUAUCACACAACUGUUUCACAUUUUUAUUCAAUCCCUUUUAUCUCCUAACCUGAUGUUUUUCAUUCACACAUGCACAUAUUCACACAUACAUUAUGCUGUUCACACACACACAUUUGUGAGUGUAGAUGUCGGAUUCAGUCAUUGUAUUUUACUCAUUGACCAAAUACAUGUAUGCAUUGACAUCAUUAUACAUGCAUGUACAUAACACCAUAUAUCAUAAAUGAAAUAAUGGCAUCAUUAUUAUUGUUAAGUCCUAAUAGAACCAUGUAUAGAUACCUCCCAGAACCAUUUAUCUCUUAUGAAAGUCAAAGUAUAUUGAGGUACAUUAAGACUUGAUGGAGGGAUUUUUUGGAAAUUUUGAUCAGCUUAAUGUAUAGCUAGAGAGGUUAAGAUUUUCCCAUCUUUUAUAACGUUUGAUUAAAAAAGGGCUUCUUCCAUGGCAGCUCCAUCAAUUUCUAGUAUUUGUUUUAACUGGAGCUGAAAUCUCCAUUACUUCUCUUGGAUUUGAAACUGUUGGUAAGUGCAUAAAAGAGUCAUAGCUCUUUCAUUCUGAAUAUACUGCUUGGCUUCCUUAGGAGAACCAGAAUCUUAGCCAGAAUUGGUGGCAUUUAUAGAACACAGUGGGCCAUGAACCAAGAUAUAAAAUCACAUUAUGAUUUAUAGCUAUAUAUAAAUUGGAAGUUGAGUGCCUUUUUCAAAUUGGAAUAUUCUUAUAUUUCUCCAUGCAACACACAAAAGUUUGAGAGUCAUAUAACUAAAACCUCUGUUUAUGCACACUCUUGCAUUGAUUUAUAACCAGUUUUAUUAUAAGUAAUCAUUAUAAAUAUUUUAACUAAGACAUAAGGAACCCAAGAUGUAUAAAUAUAUAAAUAUUAUUGUUCAAGUAGUUGUUUUCAGUAUAUGAAAUACGGUAGUUUUUCCAAAACAGAUAUGACAAAAUGCCUGGAAAGCACACAUUAGUAUUAUUAUGCCAGUCUUAUUUUUGCAGUUCUGUGAAAGCAAGAGAGCCUGUUUGCAGAAGAGAUCUUUACAUCUCAACAAGAUUCUUCUCCCAUUCCCCUAUAAGGAUAAUGUUUAGUAAUCAUUGCCUUUGGGGGCGAUCCAUACAUUUGCUCUGUUUGAUUGGAGAUCAUGGCUACAAAGGAAGUAUCUUAUUUUAAAAAACAAGAAUUGUUGAUAAUGAGUUAAUUAAUACACAAGUUGUAUUCUUAGCAUGGCUAAUUGGCUUCAGAAAAUGCACUGCCUCCACCUUAAAAAUGUUAUGUUUUAUUUAGCUGUGUUUUAUCGAUGAAGAUUGUCAUUGCAAGUAUGCAG